rnacentral:rRNA from 1 species
GACGAACGCUGGCGGCAUGCCUAACACAUGCAAGUCGAGCGAAACCUUCGGGUCUUUUGUCGCCCGUUGUCGUAACCGGUGGGAACCUGCCCUUGGGGUCGGAAUAACUCCCCGAAAGGGGUACUAAUACCGGAUAAUGUCUUCUAACCAAUGAUUUAUCGAAUUUGGAUGGGCCCUAGUUGAAUUAGCUAGUUGGUAGGGUAAAAGCCUACCAAGGGGAAGAUCCAUAACUUGUCUGAGAGGAUGAUCAGCCACACUUGGAAUGAGAAACGGCCCAGACUCCUACGCGAGGCAGGAGUGGGGAACAUUGGAACAUGGGGGAAAGCAUGAUCAAGUAAUGAUGCGUGAGUGCUGAAGGCAUUAGGGUUGUAAAGCUCUUUUAACCGGGAUGAUAAUGACAGUACCGGGAGAAUAAGCUACGGCUAACUCCGUG